rnacentral:tRNA from 1 species
GGGCUCAUAGCUCAGCGGGUAGAGCUCCCGGCUCAUAACCGGAGGGUCCCUGGUUCGAACCCAGGUGAGCCCA